GAAGGGAGAGAGUCUCAAGUGUUCCAGAGAAUCUUGAAGUUAUAAUAGCCAAAAUCUUCCCAAAUGAGUUGGGGGAAAUUUAAAAAAUGAAGAUUCAAGAAUUUUUAAUAAAACUCAAGCAGGACGAAAACAGAACGUCCCAGAGACCACACUGUCUUGAUCUUUAUGGUCGGAAUGGAAAUCGGGUUGUUUUGAGUUUUCUGUUGAUCUCCUUUAAACUUCACGGAUUCUUUUCUGUGCUGAGCUGAGUCUACUGAUAUUCUUCAGGUAUGUUUCUAUUCAAGUAUGUCCAGUUACUUUACACUUUCUGUGUUAUAGUUCUCAUAUUUAGGAAGUCUUAUUUUGUUGAUGAUUUUAUCUCUUGAAAGUGAAUUAAA